AACGAACGCUGGCGGCAGGCCUAACACAUGCAAGUCGAACGCCGUAGCAAUACGGAGUGGCAGACGGGUGAGUAACACGUGGGAACGUACCUUUCGGUUCGGAAUAACUCAGGGAAACUUGAGCUAAUACCGGAUACGUGCGAGAGCAGAAAGAUUUAUCGCCGAAAGAUCGGCCCGCGUCCGAUUAGCUAGUUGGUGAGGUAAUGGCUCACCAAGGCGACGAUCGGUAGCUGGUCUGAGAGGAUGAUCAGCCACACUGGGACUGAGACACGGCCCAGACUCCUACGGGAGGCAGCAGUGGGGAAUAUUGGACAAUGGGCGAAAGCCUGAUCCAGCAUGCCGCGUGAGUGAUGAAGGCCUUAGGGUUGUAAAGACUCUUUCGUCCAGGGACGGAUAAUAGACGGU
rnacentral:rRNA from 1 species